rnacentral:rRNA from 1 species
CACACGACUCUCGGCAACGGAUAUCUCGGCUCUCGCAUCGAUGAAGAACGUAGCGAAAUGCGAUACCUGGUGUGAAUUGCAGAAUCCCGCGAACCAUCGAGUCUUUGAACGCAAGUUGCGCCCGAGGCCACCUGGUCGAGGGCACGCCUGCCUGGGCGUCACGC